rnacentral:lncRNA from 1 species
GUUCUGUGUUGGUUAGAUAAAUCCAUUUAACCUUUUCCCUCUGCUUCUUCUGCUUUCUUUUCUUCUAUGCUAAGCUUUCAUGUUGGAACUUAGCAGUUGUUUGAUUGCUCCAUCUUGGUGAGAUCAUUGAUCCCGAGUAUGGGCUUGAGCACUACUUAUGGAUACUGUAGUUCUCUUUCCUGAACAAAACAAGAGAGAAACUGUCAGUGUUCAGCAUAUCCUUGCAUCUAUAUCAAUUUUUAUUGGGAUCUAUAUACAUGUUCAGUGAUGGUUUAUCUUCCUGUGCACUAUAGAAGGGCAUAAAAAUGCUAGUGUAACAAUAGCUUUCACAAGAAGAUAGCAUAUUCAAAAUUUUACAGAGCUACACAAAAAAAUUGAUGCUUUCUCAAGGUAUUGCAAUAGUUAUUUACCUAUACAAUUACUGCUGGUCUAUUUAUAACCAGAUCAAGAGCUCCUUCAGAUGGUCCCAACCCACAUUAAGUGCCCUUACCAGACAUCAAGGUUAAGUCUUGCAGCAUCCUAUUACAUAAUAGUAGAUGACUAAAGCAAAGGAUACCUUAUACUAGAACAGCUAAAGUAACAUAUCCCAUGGGUAACUAAUAUCAUUGUUUUUGGGUCAUCUACCAGUAUUAUUUCUUUGCUGCAGCACCUAACUUAGAAAUCAUAGGUCAUAUAUUCCAAGGCACAUCACACUAUAUACCACAUCAUCAUAAGGAACAACAUUAGUGCACACCAUAUUAGACAGCCCUAAAAAUGAAUUGGUGAAAAUAUCUGAAACAAAUGUUUAAGAUAAAGAAAACCAAUGAGGGCCUUCAUACUACAAAGCUGGAUGUGACAAUGGAAGCUAUUCUUGCCAACAAAAUUGUGCUAUGUGAGAACCUAAGCAUUUAGGUAGGCCCAAACCUCAUCAAUUCGAUGAGAAGGUUAAAAAAGAUGACCCAACUUUUACGCAUUCCCAGAGGUCAAUACUAGAAGAACUCCUGACCCACUGAAGGGUCAUCGGGAAUCAGAUGUAUGAAUUGGACACCGGUGGAGAUGUGGUCAAUGCAACCGGAAAGUUCAAAGUAAAGUUGCAGCUACCUUGCUUUCUGAGAUGUACAUAGGAUAAUUCUCCCAAAAUUCCCUGCAACAGAUGUAGAUAACCAAGCCGUCAAGAUUUAGAGCAACCAUCUCAUUAUGAUCUCAUUGAUAGAAGCAGAUGUUUGACCAAACAUCUAAAUUUGACCUUCUCAUUGAUCCAAAUAGAUGUGUAGCAAAAACACUACAUUUUGACCAGUUCAUUGGUCAAAAGGAUUCCUCUCUGGAGGGCAUUACAUGCAAAAAUUUAUCCUACCAGAUUAGGCUAAUCAUAAGUUCACAAUCAUGUGUGUCAGCAUCCUGAGAAUAAUGCAGUACACAUACUUUACAGCAAGAGUUAAAACCAUAUUGAUAAAAGAAAGAUUUACCAGGAUAAAACUGAUCUGGCAGUGCAACUACUUGUUGGGAAAAAUGCAUAAUGCUAUCUGAACCUGAACCAGCAAAAUCUGACGAGCAGCUCCAUGGUGCCUCUUUUUCCUUGUAUCGACAUUGAUCUGGAUCAAAUUCUCUGCACCAUAUAUACCCCAGGAUCAUAUAGUCUUCCGUCUUAGAUGACUUUCUUGAAGACACCUGUUGCCAGUUAUGGUAAAUUGAAAUCAGUUGCCAUGGAACACCACCAAGAAAAAUGCAGGGCAUUUUACAAAUAUCUGCUUUCUCUGUUCUUUCCCAUGAUGAGCUUUGAUCCCUAGUCAGUCAAAUCAGUUCAUUACUAAUGAUAUCAGAAUUUCAAUCUUUUAUGCAUGUUUAAUGAAUCUGACAAUGAAACAAGCCAAGCAUUAGUAGUAAGUAGUAACACACCCGUAUUACACUACUCAUGAAAGCUAGUUCUGGACAAAUCUUUGGCAACAUUCACAUAGCAAAAUUUGACAACUCUCUCCCAAGGUUAUCAUAAGAGUGGAGCGUAAGCCCAACAUUUGACAGCAAUAUCUUACUUAUCCUUUGCAUAUAAGUCAUAAAAAAUAUAAGCAAAAUUCAGUUGCCCCUUAAACAAGCCACAAGAAACACAACAUCUCUUUGGUGUGAUAUGCUUUCAAUCAGAGGCAACAAGGACAUGCAAUUCUAAACUUCCCUACUGCCAUUUGUCCCUGAGAUAUUGUCUUACUAUCACCGACUAUGUAUUAUUCGCUGGCUUGUGCAUUUUUAUAAGCAUGAUUGCAUGUGGAAGAAGCAGCACAAUAGCUACAUUUUUCGAAAUCCUAGCACCAAAUGUUUCACUGGUAGGAAUCUUGAAUCUACCCAACUUUUCUCCAGCAUAAAUAAUCAUGUAAACACAAUUGACAUCCACACUGGGUAUUCCACUAAUGGAACAAUUCCUUGUAACCCUACUUGACAAAAUUCUACUUUGAACUUCAAUUUUGUGCUAUUUAUGUACAUUAUAAUCUCCAUUUUUAUUAUAGAGGCAGGGCAAGAUGUUAUAGACAUACGGCCUAACAGAAGAUUGCCUUGAACCACAAUCGGGCAAUUCAUCCAUCCAUGCGCUCGAAGACCAGGCAGCC